UUAUAUAAUACUUUUUUAUAUUUAAUAAAGUAUUACUUGUAAGUUUCAAUAUAAUAAAUAUGUGUGCGCGAUUAAAUUCAAUAAUUGCAUAUACAUUAUUGAUUUUAUGACCUAUUGCAAUAUAAAUAAAUCAAUGAUUAUCAUAAAUCUAAUUGAACAUUAAAAAUUCAUAAUCAGAUGUAAUUCAAAUAAGAGAAUAUGAGUUAUAUAUGACAGAACUAACAAUAUCAUAAUUCAAUACAAAAAAAGUGUUAAAUGUGAGAACUAUCUACUAAAUCAAAAAACUAAAAGUUUAAUUUGAUUCGUAUAUAGAACGGGGGUCUUGUCUCUUUCGUGACUAUAUUUGGACAUGUUAUAAUACCCAAAUUGUCAAGAUUUAUAUUUUAAAAUUUCAAUAAAAAUAUGAUUGAUAUAAGAGUGCAUAACAAUACUAGCUUAGCUAAUAAUAACGCGUAUUAAACGAAGAAUUACUUGUAAUUUUCAAAUACAAUUCAAAUAAAUAUCUAAUACUAAUAUUUUGUUAAUUUUGAUGUUUAACUAUAUUAGAUUUAAAUAAUUAUGUUCUUGUAUUUAUUUAUUGAUCACUAACUAUAUUAAGUUAAAUAAGCAUAUACAUUAUUGACUUUAUGAUCUUAUUACAGUAUUAAUAAUUUAAUAAUUAUCGUAAAUCUAAUUGAACAUUAAAAUUAAUAAUUUGAUGUAAUUAAAAUAGGAGCAUAUGACUUAUAUCAUAAUUCAAUACAAAAAAGUGUACAUGUGAGUUUUAACUAUAGCUUAAAUAAAAUAUAUUAUCGAUAAAUUUAGCAGAUUUAAUAUUUAAUGUUGAUUAUCUUAAGAAUUUCUUAAUACUAUUUUGUACAUUAGGCGACAUGAUACUUGACAAAUAUAUUUCAGAAUAUAUUUUUUUCAUACAAAUAAUUUAUUUGUGGUGUCCUAUUUAAUGUAGUUAUAUAUUUAUGAUUCUUUUUUUUUUAAUAGGUAAUAGUACUUAAUUGUCAUUGUUGUUACUUAUAUUUAUUUACAUUAUAGUGUUUGCAUAUAAUAAAGAAGUUAAAAAAAAAAAAAAGUAGAAGUUAUAUAGUACAAAACAAGUAGUGAACGGAAAUUGACUAGUCAAAAAUGCCAAAACCUAGUCCUAAUGCCUCCAGCCGCUACAGCCCUCCACAUUUCCUUUUUUCCUUUUGCCAAUUCCACCAAACACAAAUCUUUAUUACUCCAUAUCAAAAGAUUAUAAGGGGUUCUUUGGUGUUAUGCAACGGAGAUGUCUAAUUGAUUUUUUUAAUUACACAUUGGAAGGGCAAAAAUGUUGUAUAUAUUUUAAGGGAUGGUUCCUCUUGUAUUACAUCUAUAUCAACAAGAUCUUCAUAGCUGCUUUUGAUAUGUGAUUCAGGAGAUGCUUUUGAUGGAAUUAAUCUUGCUCUUUUUUUAAGGCAAAUUUAUGAAAUUACUAGAGCAGCAAUGACAAACUGGAGCGGAUAUUGAUCAAAUUAAGAUGCAAUUAGAGGUUGUGUAGGAGGUGAGAAAUCAGAAGAUCGUGCAAGUUCGAGUCUCAAGCAAGAUAAUGCUAUUGUAAUUGGUGGCAUAGAUGAAUUAUGUAUUGUGAAUGCUUGAAAUUUAGAUAUGUAACAAUGUGUAACUUGAGACCUAUUUUGGAAUCCAAAAAUUUUGUUUCGUAUAGAAGAAUUAUUCUGAUUAACAAUGCUUUGUGGCAUACUCUUCAAUAUGUAGCGAUGAAAUUUUAGAAUUCAUAGCUAAUUGUAUAUAUAAUUGCCAAAAACAAGGUUACACAUUUCACUUCUCGUAGCAAACGAAGAA